CCAGUUCAGGUCUGAUCCAUUGACUACUUCAUGCCUUGGGAGUUGGGACUUGAUCAUGCUCUAGACCAAAGCUCUCCAUCAAGCUUUGUGCUCAGCUGUGCCCAAGCUCAGCUAUAUCAACACUACAUUUAAAGAAGAAAGUGCGGAAGAAACAAGCCAUUAGGAACUAGAAUAAACAAUUUGGCAAGGUUGUGAAAUUGAUUGACCCAAGGAGUUCAGGUUGUUCUUGACUUAUACUUGGACGCGAGGAGCCAAUUUGAUGAUCGAACUAAGGCCAUUCAAUAAGUGUAAACCUUUUGUUAAACCAUC